rfam:Procavia capensis cont1.66701, whole genome shotgun sequence.
CAGAGCCCGCCAGCCGCUGAGCCAGUGCCACACCUGGGGGUGAUUUAAUGCCUCACCUUCAGUAGGCACCUUGGGCUAAUCUCUGGCUCCCUUGCACUAACUCUUGCUCUCACUCAGCUAAUCCAUGCCUUCCCCUGGCUUCCCCUGGGGCUGAUCGCUAACAGCCAACUUCACCCACCUGGGGGCUCCAGGUUCCUGACCUGGCUCUGACUAGCUCUAAAUAACUUCUCCUUUACCUGGACUAACUCCUGCCCUCUGGGUCUGUUCCUUUCAGCAGAAACUAACGGCUUGUGGAUUUCUUUCUGACUAACAACAGGUCUAACACUCCUCAUUACUAUUAACAGCUUGAUGUCUGCAUGGCUGGG